rnacentral:tRNA from 1 species
AAGUUGGAUUAGUGGUAAAGCAUUGGACUGAUGUUCCGGUGGACAUGGGUUCGAUCCCCAAACAAGUUA